AGGGUUUGAUUCUGGCUCAGAACGAACGCUGGCGGCAUGCCUAACACAUGCAAGUCGAACGAACCCUUCGGGGUUAGUGGCGCACGGGUGCGUAACGCGUGGGAACCUGCCUUUAGGUUCGGAAUAACAGUUAGAAAUGACUGCUAAUACCGGAUAAUGUCUUCGGACCAAAGAUUUAUUGCCUUUAGAUGGGCCCGCGUUGGAUUAGAUAGUUGGUGGGGUAAUGGCCUACCAAGUCGACGAUCCAUAGCUGGUCUGAGAGGAUGAUCAGCCACACUGGGACUGAGACACGGCCCAGACUCCUACGGGAGGCAGCAGUGGGGAAUAUUGGACAAUGGGCGAAAGCCUGAUCCAGUAAUGCCGCGUGGGUGAUGAAGGCCUUAGGGUUGUAAAGCUCUUUUACCAGGGAUGAUAAUGACAGUACCUGGAGAAUAAGCUCCGGCUAACUCCGUGCCAGCAGCCGCGGUAAUAC
rnacentral:rRNA from 1 species